UAUGCCCCUUAUGACCUGGGCUACACACGUGCUACAAUGGGCGGUACAAAGGGUCGCGAACCCGCGAGGGGGAGCCAAUCCCAAAAAGCCGCUCUCAGUUCGGAUUGCAGGCUGCAACUCGCCUGCAUGAAGCCGGAAUCGCUAGUAAUCGCGGAUCAGCAUGCCGCGGUGAAUACGUUCCCGGGCCUU
rnacentral:rRNA from 1 species